CGCCCUUCAGAAGGGGACAACAGUUGGAAACGACUGCUAAUACCGCAUACGAUCUGACCUCGGCAUCGAGGAUAGAUGAAAGGUGGCCUCUAUUUAUAAGCUAUCACUGAAGGAGGGGAUUGCGUCUGAUUAGCUAGUUGGAGGGGUAACGGCCCACCAAGGCGAUGAUCAGUAGCCGGUCUGAGAGGAUGAACGGCCACAUUGGGACUGAGACACGGCCCAG
rnacentral:rRNA from 1 species